CCUACGGGAGGCAGCAGUGGGGGAUAUUGGACAAUGGGGGGAACCCUGAUCCAGCGACGCCGCGUGAGUGAAGAAGUAUUUCGGUAUGUAAAGCUCUGUCAGCAGGGAAGAAAGAAAUGACGGUACCUGACCAAGAAGCCCCGGCUAACUACGUGCCAGCAGCCGCGGUAAUACGUAGGGGGCAAGCGUUAUCCGGAAUUACUGGGUGUAAAGGGAGCGUAGACGGUUAAGUAAGUCUGGAGUGAAAGGCCGGGGCUCAACCCCGGGACUGCUCUGGAAACUAUUUAACUUGAGUGCAGGAGAGGUAAGCGGAAUUCCUAGUGUAGCGGUGAAAUGCGUAGAUAUUAGGAGGAACACCAGUGGCGAAGGCAGCUUACUAAACUGCCACUGACAUUGAUGCUCGAAAGUGUGGGUAUCAAACAGGAUUAGAUACCCGAGUAGUC
rnacentral:rRNA from 1 species